CGUCGCGGCGUCGCCGCCGCCAGCUGACUGACUGCUCACCCCCGGAAGUGAUGCAGGGAGGGGGAGGCAGUCUCGCAGGGAGCCGCGGAGCAUUCCAUGUGGAACCCUGGGAGCCUGAAGGAGGCUGUGAAGUUAGUGGAAUGAUUCCCUGUGUAGCUGAAACUAUGUUAGUUGACUGCCACUAAUGGCAUGGUGAGAUGUGUUGAAGAGCAGCUGCGAGGGUGUCCGACAGCAAGGGGACCGCUCUAGAGGCUGGGCUUGCAACAUCAUGGGCCAGUGUGUCACGAAGUGCAAGAAUCCUUCUUCUACCCUUGGCAGCAAAAAUGGGGAAAGGGAAUCUGGCAGCAAGUCACAUAGUAAGAGAAGUGCAGUCCACAAAGACGACCAUGGUUCAGCUUGCGGGAAAUCUUCAGGAGAUAUACUUGUGAAUGGGACAAAGAAAACGGACGCUGCUGUAGAGUCUAGUCAGCCUCCGACGUUUUCUGGAGAUACAAAGAAAGACUGUGUUUCCAGCGCAGAAGAAUCUUCGCUCCAAAGGAUUGGGGAGUUAUUUAGGAGGUAUAAGGAUGAACGGGAAGAUGCCAUACUGGAAGAAGGAAUGGAACGAUUUUGCAAUGACCUCUGUGUUGAUCCCACUGAAUUUAAAGUGCUAGUUUUGGCUUGGAAAUUCCAGGCUGCUACCAUGUGCAAAUUUACAAGGAAGGAGUUUUUUGAAGGCUGCAAAGCAAUAAACGCAGACAGCAUUGACGGUAUUUGUGCAAGGUUCCCCAGCCUCUUAAAUGAAGCCAAGCAGGAAGAUAAAUUCAAGGAUCUCUAUCGUUUCACCUUCCAGUUCGGCCUGGACUCUGAAGAAGGACAGAGGUCGCUACAUCGGGAAAUAGCCAUUGCCCUUUGGAAAUUAGUCUUCACCCAAAACAAGCCCCCCAUUUUGGACCAGUGGUUACACUUCCUAAUCGAGAACCCCUCAGGAAUCAAGGGAAUCUCCCGGGACACAUGGAACAUGUUUCUAAAUUUUACUCAGGUGAUUGGACCGGACCUUAGCAACUACAGUGAGGACGAGGCCUGGCCGAGUCUCUUCGAUACCUUUGUGGAGUGGGAAAUGGAGCGAAGGAAAAAGGAAGAGGAAACCAAAUGUAUUACGUCUUCGGACACAGAGGACCUGUGUGCGGAGGAACAGACUUAGCGGCGUGGAAGCAGCAGUGACAAAAGCAACCUGUUGCCCUUCAUGAAAUGUAAACUCUGGAUGUUUCUGGAAAUUACCGAGGCUCCAGAUUUUUCUACUUUACACCUUUUUCUGCCUUGUCUUUGAAAGGGCUCUAAAAUGCUGUAUCAUGUUUUAGGCACUUUCUUAAUUUUGGUUAUUCCUUUUACUCUUGCCCUGAAAUAUUUGACCCUGGCUACAAGUUAAGCGUGGUUGGUUUUUUUUGUUGUUGUUUUUUUUUUUUUUUUUUAAGACUUCAGAUUAGUAUAAAAUGCCAACCAGACCUGUAUCAGUUUUAAACUCCUGAACCAGGAACUGAAGGUGCAAUUCUUUGGCAGUGCUGAAAGUGAGAGAGGGCGUCAGACCUUCCCUUGGAUUGUCUGGUGAUUUUAUGAUCCUAAACGAGAAUAGACCAUACUCUGUAAUGCUGGUGUACCUGUGUGGGAGUGGGGGUUUGUACAUGUUUGUGAGAAGUCUAUAAGAAUACUGGAGCCUCUGAAAAUAUGCUUGUUUAAUGGUUAAACUGUGAAUAUCUGUGGAACAGGCCAAAUACAUUCACGCUUCAUUUUUAUAUAAUUUAAAUCUUUAUUGUAUAGGGCACAGCACUGUAGUGAGCAGUGAUGCUGAUGAAAUCCUUGAAACCAUUGCAGCUAUUUAAUUUUUUUUUUUGAGUAUGCAUUAGAAAACUUUAUGCAUGUAGUGAAUCUGCUGCAACUUGAGAUAAAUAACUAUAGAAAACUAUAUAGAUAGUUAUAGUAAUAUACUGGAAAACUGGUCUGACAUCCGCACUCUGUGGCAUUUUAUUGCCUUCCCUUAUAUGCAAAGAAAUACAACUCCUGUAAACUUUAGUCCCUAGUAAUAAAACACUGACCACCCGCACCAUAUUAUAGUUUGCAACACCUUUAAAAUUUGGCUCCCAGAUCAACUGGAGGCUUACUUGUGCUAAUUUUUACUUGUGUGGGUGCAUUUCUGAGGUCAAAGACUAUUUAUUGAUUCAAGUAAGGAUUUGAAAGAUUCCGCCCAUAGCUGGCCAUAAAACAUGACCAAGGAAAUUAAUUAAAAUUGAACGCUGAAUUGUGAGUUUACUUGCUGCUGGUGCUAUUCUAUACGGAGAAUUAUAGCUUUUUAAUACCGUGCAAUCAUAAUGAAAGAACCACAGGAAAAAUAAAUGAAGGUGUGGCAGGUGGCAUAAAAUCAGACAGCUGAAGCCUGUGGCAGUUUGGUCUGCCAAGCGCUGCCUUCCCCAGGCUGGCAGGGCAGAUCUGCUCAUGAAUCAGCCUCUGAACCACUGCAGCUUUUCAGCCAAGCACAUUUUAAGAGCUCUGCUGAUGAGCAAGUGACUUGGGGUUGGUUGCAAAUAGAUGCAGCCCCUUUUCCUGAGGGCAGGGCAGCUGUCAGGUGCGGGGUUCAAAGUGCUGGGGACAGCAGCAGCUUUGCCUGUGUGACUUUUACUUCACUCUUUGCAUGUCUGUCAGAGCCUGAAGAACCCAUGGAUCCCAGGGCUAGCCUGUCACCUGUGGUUCCCAGACAUGGCUGUGCACUGACUAGUGACCUUAGUAUUUUCAUGACACUGUCAACAUAAGUAUCUUCCUUACAGUUCUAAGCCUUGUUUCCAAAAAAAGCCCACCAAAGUUAAAGAAACACCACGUAGUUAAUAGCCACCUUGAUCAUGAUGUAAUUUGCUGGCUGAGGUUACAUCAUUCCCAUUCAUUGGGAAAUAAUAGUCAUUGUGAGUUUCUGGGUCUUGCAGCCUUGUGUUCUGUAGUGUGAUCCUUUUUUAGAAGAUCCUCAGUAAAUUGGGCACCCGGUUCUUCCCUUGAGCUCAUUCUGCUCGAAAUGUGUGCAUGUGAAUUUACCUUUUCAUAUUAAAAAGGAAGAUGCUUAACCUGAAACUCAAAAUUUUUCAGGGUAGUGUUUCAAUAUACAGCAAAACAUAAAUAUUUUUUCAAAUAAGUAUUGAAAGCUCUGCUUCAAUUUUGUCAUGUGCAAACAAAACCACCAGUGUUAAAAUUUUCUCUCUGGACUAUUGAAGAUUGAAUCUUUGGUUUUAUAUUGCCAGCUGAAGUGAAAUACAUGAAAUUGUAAGACAGAAGGCUGUAACUCCUUCACCAUGAAGUACAUAGGUAUCUCUACCUCUUUUUCUUAGACUUGAAUAGUUUAAGGUUACCAUCCUUUUCUCCCAGGAUUUUCUGCCUGGAUAAGUAAUCUAUUUUUUUUAAUUGACCCAAGUUAAGUAUUAUCUAUUUGCCAUACUUUUUGGUAUACUGCUUUUAAUCUGCAUGCAAUUGACCCUUUGAAAGGGAGCCAAGUCAAGCUGCAAACAAAAGUGUCGGUCCCCCUGGGUGCUAGUUUUGGAGUGCAAUAGAGUAACCUACUAGAGCUACAUUGCACAUGGCUCAGGGGCUUUUAUCAUCACACAUCCUCUUCCCUGGUCAGUCUACUUGUACUGACAAUAAAUUGAAGAUGGAGCAGCUGCUCCCCAAGAGGGAGUCAUCAGCCUUUUCAUUUGCCCUUGAAAAACUUUAGGAACCCACCUGAUGCAGUGCCAUGAGUGUAUUUUGAUUAAAAAUACUGUGUUUUCCCUGUUGGACUGGACCUGUAACACCCAGCAAAGAUUGGAGCUGCAAAAGUGUAAAGGCUACACGUCCUUUUCCUCCCUGAGGUCAGAAUCUUGGCUCAGGAUAAAACCCUUAUGCUUGAGCAAAGCUGGAGCAUUCUCAAGUGUAUUGGGGAUGCCAGAGUGGCUUCAGUGCUGAGUUGUAUUCAUUAAUGCAUUUAGGUGGUGUCUCUUUUUCAUGCAACACAUCUGUGUCCCUUCCUUUCCUUCCCCAAAGAAAACUACAACACAGUUACUGUCAUUGCAAAUCCCAAAUAGAUGUUAUGCUGUAGCAACUGUUGCUACAGGAUUCUUCUUCCAGUUUGAGGGCUGCUUUUGGGGUGUGGCCUCUUGCACUAUCUGUACGGGCACAUAUUUCAACAGGAUGGGGGGGACGUGUGAGACAAUAGGUAAAAGGAGCACGAACAUACUAGUCCUGCUAACAGCUUGCCUUAAAUCACUGACGGUACAGUGGUUCCUUGCUACUAUUGCAAUCUUCAGUCUUUCUGUAGUUAAGUUUUAAAAUCCAACAGGUUCUGGAGGUUAUACCAUUUUUUAUUUUUAAAAAGCUUCUAUCUUUGCGUAAUUGCACUCUUCAGAUAAGCCCUUUCCAGAUAACAUGUCAUUUCACACACGGACAGAAAAAAACAUCUGUCUCCAAUGUUCUUGCUGUAAAGUGCUUUUUUUUUUUUUUCCCCCCCUGUAAAUUAUAUUUGGACUAAAGGUUGCCUACUGUUGAAGCAGUGUGUUUACUUGAAUGUUGCCAUUUUAUGCAGUUACAACUGCUGACUCUUGCUCUUCUCUGGGCCCAUGAGAGGGGAGAUCGUGUGACCAGAGGCGGCAAACCUGCACAGAGGAUCAGUGGAGCUGAAGGCUGGCUGCUGUUUUUAUACUCCCAUAUGUAUUACACGUUAGAGGACUUCACAGAAUAGUGCUUAAUAUUUUGAAGUUGUGACUUUUUAAGUCACACUAAACAGUUAUCUUAAAAAUAUGCUUGCUUUCUUAUCUGUAAGUUAAAAUAGUCUUUGAAAAAAGGAGAUGGGCUGGCGGGAGUGGUUGGAGGGCCUCGUGCUGUCAGUUGCCGAGUGACUCGAAUUCCAAGAGCCGUGGAUGCAACUGGCAGGAUCAGGUCCUGGCCCAACGCAACUGGGGUUUGUACUGGCUGGUCUCGAGGGCAUGAAGCAACUGCAAGUCCUUGACAGGCUGCGUGGAGGAGAAGGGUCAGCCUGGGAGAGCUAGUUGACCCAGCUGGAUUUCUUGGAGUACUUGCUUGUGGGUCUUGAGGCCCCAAUUUAGCCUCAAGUUGCCCUUUAUGGGAGGAAUGCAUUUUGAUAGUGUGUGCUCCCAGAGAAGUAACAAAUUCUAAGGAAAUAAUGAGAGCACACCUUCGUGUGGCUUUCAUUGACUCACGUGUGAAUACGACUAGCUGAUCAAUCUCUCAAUUCCUCAGAAAACCAGCAAGGGUGGAUAGGAUCGAAUCUGCCGUUCUUUGUGUCAGGAGUGGUUUUUGCCUUUUUGGACUUACCCAAGAGAUAACCAUGUACGAUCCAAUUUUCUUGCUCUGGGAAACAAUGAAUGUAUUGCUUGUCUUGGAACAGACCGGUGCUUCCUCUUUCGGGCAGCAGUAUCAGAAGUGCUGUGGAAAUGUAAUGCUUGAAAAUGGCUGGAGUAAAUUCUGUUUCCUGUAGGGUCUUUUUUUAAAGGGAUGUGGCCAGAUUUGAAACCAUGAUCUAGAGGAAAAGUGGGAGAAAUUAAAGAUGAUGCAUCUACUGAGUCCCAUUGGGUUUGUAGUUUUACCAUUUUGCUCACCGUUGUUGUCUGGAACAGAAUGGAAACAGCAUCUUAUAGAAUGUGCAAUCUAAGGCACAAUGCAAAUAGGUUGUAAUAAGAAGGUCAUCUUUACUUGAUAGCAAUCCUGAGUGCAAUGUUUUUGUCGUGUCCCUUUUGGAAGAAGAGCAUUAAGUGCAGUCUGAGGUUUUUCUUUUCUUAUAAGCAAAGCAUUGGUUUGUCCAUUACUGACUUCUUGUGGAAUUUGUGCCAGAUGUAUAUUAAAUAUUUUGGUGCUUUUUCUAA